GUGGGGAAUCUUAGACAAUGGGCGCAAGCCUGAUCUAGCCAUUCCGCGUGAGCGAUGAAGGCCUUAGGGUUGUAAAGCUCUUUCGUGGGGGAAGAUAAUGACUGUACCCCAAGAAGAAGCCCCGGCUAACUCCGUGCCAGCAGCCGCGGUAAUACGGAGGGGGCUAGCGUUGUUCGGAAUUACUGGGCGUAAAGCGCACGUAGGCGGACUGGAAAGUCAGGGGUGAAAUCCCGGGGCUCAACCCCGGAACUGCCUUUGAAACUCCCAGUCUUGAGUUCGAGAGAGGUGAGUGGAAUUCCGAGGGUAGAGGUGAAAUUCGUAGAUAUUCGGAGGAACACCAGUGGCGAAGGCGGCUCACUGGCUCGAUACUGACGCUGAGGUGCGAAAGCGUGGGGAGCAAACAGGAUUAGAAACCCCAGUAGUCC
rnacentral:rRNA from 1 species